AUUUAAUUACCAGGUUAGUGGUAUGUUCAAAAUGACUUUUAUCCAAUAACUUGGAGAUAUCUUGGAAGAUGUUGCUGUCUAUGGGGAGUCUCUUGAGGGAUUUUUAGUCUGUGGAUACCUUUUAGUAUGUUUUUUAUGGGGUAUGUGGAUAAGAAAGGAGUCUUGUUUGGAUAAAGAGUUAGCAUGAAAUGUUGUAUCCCCGUUAAG